GAUGAACGCUAGCGGCAGGCCUAACACAUGCAAGUCGAGGGAUAAGCCUUCGGGCUAAGCCCGGCGCACGGGUGCGUAACGCGUAUACAAUCUGCCUUUUAUCCGGGGGAUAGCCCGAAGAAAUUUGGAUUAAUACCCUAUGGUAUAAGAGCACGGCAUCGUGCACUUAUUAAAGCUACGGCGGUAAAAGAUGAGUAUGCGUUCUAUUAGCUAGUUGGAGAGGUAACGGCUCCCCAAGGCGACGAUAGAUAGGGGUUCUGAGAGGGAUGUCCCCCACACUGGUACUGAGAUACGGACCAGACUCCUACGGGAGGCAGCAGUGAGGAAUAUUGGACAAUGGUCGGAAGACUGAUCCAGCCAUGCCGCGUGCAGGAUGACGGCCUUAUGGGUGGUAAACUGCUUUUGUAAGGGAAGAAUAAGGAGUACGUGUACUUUGAUGACGGUACCUUACGAAUAAGCAUCGGCUAACUCCGUG
rnacentral:rRNA from 1 species